GGGCGCAGCCUGAUGCAGCAACGCCGCGUGAGUGAUGAAGGCCUUCGGGUUGUAAACCUCUUUCGUCCGGGACGAUAAUGACGGGACCCGUCGAAGAAGCCCCGGCUAACUCCGUGCCAGGAGGCCUGG
rnacentral:rRNA from 1 species